GGGGAGACCAGGUAGGGCGCAUGCACGGCCGCUGAAAUGGGUUUAACUUCGACCUUCCCUCCUUUCCAGUUUUUCAGCAAGUAUGGGUGAUACUAGCUACCCUCUGUUAAGGGGCGAAGACUGUGCAACGAGGGGAAUCUGUUUGGUUCAGGAUGUUAGAGCAGGCAAGGAAAUAUUCCUUAUGUUUAAUUUUUAUCCGUUCGUGGGCCCUAGAGCUUGCUUUCAAUUUGGCAAAAUGGAUUUUUAUAGUGGUAGAACUAGCAAAGUUAUAGACGUUGUGUUUCAGUGUGCUGUGUGUUAGAAACUUCAGUGAGCUGUGUGUUAGGCCGGGUGCGGUGGCUCACGCCUGUAAUCCCAGCACUUUGGGAGACUGAGGCAGGCGGAUCGUAAGGUCAGGAGUUCGAGAGCAGCCUGGCCAACGUGGUGAAACCCCGUCUCUACUAAAAAUGCAAAAACUAGCGGAGUGUGGUGGCACACCUGUAAUCCCAACUACUAGGGAGGCUGAGUCGGGAGAAUCACUUGAACCCGGGAGUUGGAGGUUGCAGUGAGCUGAGAUCACACCACUGCACUCCAGCCUGGGUAACAGAGCAAGACUCCGUCUCGGGAAAACAAAACAAAACUAUUCACCUUUUAAAACUUCUGAAGGAUACUGUGUGCCAUCACUACAGGCAUACUUCAUUAUUGCACUUCGCUUUGCUGCCACGAGUAGAUACAGCCUUUUUACAAAUGGAAGGUUUUUGGCAAAUCCGCCAGAGGAAGUCUCUUGGUGCCGGUUUUUCCAGCAGCAUACACUUUGUGUCACAUAUGAAAUUGCCACAACCACUCCAACCUUCAGCAACCAUCAUCCUGAUCAGUCAGCAGACAUCAACACCGAGGCAAGACCUUCCACCAGCAAAAAGAUUAUGAUUUUCCAAAGGCCCAGAUGGUUGUUAGCAUUUUCAGCAAUAAAGUAUUUUAAAUAAGGCAUUAAAGACUAGAACAUCCAAAAACAAUGGCAUAUAUAAGGAAAAUUAGAAAGUAACUAUGCACGCCAAGGAAAAGACUAGGAUCAGAAAAACCUGAGAAGACCUCAAGUGUACACUUCAUGUUGAACCUUGGCACAGAGAGAGCCUACAAUUAAACAAACAAAAAACCUAGGGAAGGGGUUUGAUUUCCAGAGUUACCACAUCUCCUGCUUACCUUGAUCUCUAUCUUUGUGAACCCCAUCUCCAGCCAGCAGCCUCAACCAAGGUUAAUAUGUUGGAUUUAGUGGCACAUGUAUAUGAAGAAAAGGAAGAUGGUUUUAUAAAAAAUAACAUUUGAAAACAAGUGCCAUUGGAUUCAGACGUCCAGUUUUCAACAAAAAAUCACAAGGCAUACAAAGAAACAGGAAAAUUAGGCUCAUUCAAAGGGAAAAAAUAUUGGUAAAUCUCAGAGUAGGGGGGAAAGAGAAAAAGUAAAUAAAAGAUAUCAACAGGAACUAUUUCUGAAAAAUAUCUGAUGGUAGAUCUACUAGACAAAGAGUUUAAAACAACUACCUUAAGGAUGCUCAAAGAAGUAAAGGAGAAUGUGGAGAAAGUUGACGAAACCGUGUAUUUACAAAAUGGAAAUAACAAUAAAGAGACAGAAAAUCAAAAAGAAGACAAAAAGAAAUUCUGAAAGAGAAAAAAUACAGUAACUGAAAUGAAAAAAUUACUAGAAGGAUUCAGAGGCAGUUUUGAACAGACAGAAGAAUGAGCAAACUUGAAGAUAAUAGAAAUUACUAAGUCUAAGGAACCAAAAGAAAAAAAAAAUAGUAAAAGCAAACAAAUUCUACGGGACCUGUUGGAACACCAUCAAGUGGACCAAUAUACAAAUCGUGGGAGUUUUAAAAGGAGAAGAGAGACAGAAAGGACAGAAAGAAUAUUUGAAGAAAUAAUGGCUGAAAAAUUCUCGAAUUUGAUGAAAGACAUUAAUAUAAACAUCCAGGAAGCUCAAUGAACUCCAGCACUCAAGAACCAGCCAGACAGCAAAAGCCAAAAUUGACAAAUGGGAUCUAAUUAAACUAAAGAGCUUCUGCACAGCAAAAGAAACUACCAUCAGAGUGAACAGGCAACCUACAGAAUGGGAGAAAAUUUUU